UUCAUUCUAACCACUAGAGAGGGGCAUGUUUCAGUUGAGAUAUUCCCCCCCCCUCGGAGUGAAAUACUGGACCACAUCAGCAUCCGAUUUGGGUGCGUCAUGUGGUUUCUCAUGUGAUGCUGGUCUCACUGCGCUUUGGAGAGUGAGCCUUUGUGACUCCGCACUCUUGGACAGUAGCAUCCAGCAACAUAGGAUACUUUGGGGAGGGAAAGGAAAAGAGGCAGCCUCCCAGAAAAGCCCGAAAGCCCAGAAAAAUAAAGCAUAAAGCUGCACCAUUUGGAAGAAACAAGACUGUCUUUCCUCACAGCUACGAUGCUACACCGCUUUCGACAGAGCCUGCUUUUCCCUCCAUCUACCUGGGCGGCUGCUGCUCUUUCUGCUGCUGCUGGGGCUGCUGCAGUCUUGCUGCCUGCGCUUCGCCCUGGCUUGGCUGACUCGAAACUCUCUCGUCUGCACAUUGCUAAGGAAGAAGAGCGAUGGAGCCGCGUAUUUUUUAUUUUUUUUAUUGGUUCUGGAAGCCAAGGGUUGCAAUAUGUGAUGAUUUUGGAGUUUUCUGUGGCGGGGGGAGGGAGGAGAGAGGAAGGGUGUUAAUCUAGGAUAGGGUGGGUGAAAGCUUAAAGAAAUAUUAUGUAAAGCAAUCCGGUGCUCGACAAGGGCAUCAGCAACAAGAAUCCAGCCUCUGCUGCUCCAGAGGAUUAACAUGAGGAAGUCACAGUGCUGCAGUCGGGUUUCACCUCAGUGUUGUGCUGGAGAUGGAUAAAUAAGGUAUCGGUUGCAUCUGCCUGUUAAGGCAAAGCCAAGGGAGAAGGAGAGAGCGAGCGAAUGCAAAUGCAAAGGAAGAAGAAAUGCUACGUGCCGUUUGUCUGAUUCUGUGGAUUCUCGCUGCAGAGAGGAUGGCUUGAUUAACAAAGCAGUGUAUGGACGGAGGGACUGUAAAUUGUAGCUUGAGCACUCCUGGUGCUGUCAGGGAGUGAACUGAUGAGUUUGGUGGCUGCAGGAAUAUCCCCAGGGAAAGCAGCAGCCUCGCACUCUGUGUGUAUAUCUGUGUAUGUACGUGCUUUUCUGUGUGUGUGAACAUGUAUAGAAAUGAAAGAAAGACAUUUCUGACCAAUUUACAGAGGACGUUUGUCAGUUUGCUGGGUCAGACUUGAUUGCAGCUUGUAUUUUCAGCUCUAGCUCUACACCCCUUUCCUGACUGAGGUGGCACUUUGUGAAAACAGAUGGUAGGCAGUAUUCUUUUAAAAAAUGUGAAAGCAGAUCCUUUCUGCUUAACACCUUGAAGCACUGAGUCUUCUGCACUGUGCUGAGAGAAACCGUGGGGUUUCGUUUUUCUCCAUCUUAAAAUCCCUAUAAACACAGCUGUAUUCAGUAUGGUGAAAAAUUCUACACUGUAAAUAGAAAUGUGAUCAAUCUAAUCAAAAUAAAUGUAUCCCAGAUGACUUCUAGACCAGCUGGCUACCACAGUCAUCAGAUGACUAAAUCCUCAACUGAGCAUUUGUAUUCAGUGUUAUACUUGCAUCUUUUUAUUUUUCCCUUUUUUUUUCUUAGAUUUUCAAAAUCAGCCUCUAAUUGAAAAGGAUUCUUCAUAUAUUGAGAAAAGGCAAUGCUUGCAUUUAGCAAUUGAUUUCUGUGAAAUGUAGCUGGGUGUAUCUUUUAUUGUGGAAUCUGCUUGGGGCGGUUUUAGAGCAGGUAUCUCUGUGAUACUGGUCACAGUACAGGCAUAUUUCAUUUGGCAGGUAGCUCAACUUGGCCAUAUCUGAACAAUGCAGAAGCAGGGAAAACAAGCACUGCACUCAGCUAGCAGGGCUUGGCAUGGAUUUUAGCAGCUGCCUAAUGAGAAGGACGGGGUAUUUUCCUUUCCUUUUUUUUCCCUUUUAUACAAAGCCAUAGACCAUAAUGUCAUACUAAAAUGUGUAUGAGGGGAUUUCCCAACAGUCAUGGUGAGCUACCCUGCAAGACACCCGUCUGGUCCUUCCACUGUUUGUUCCCCAGCCUACAAAGGCAGCCCUGUGUUGAAUCGUAUUUAGCCAGCUGUUGGAUAGCAUUCUUGUGCUGGGGGCUAAGGAGUCUCAUUACUCCCAAACUGUAGUUUUCUGUUUGCUUAGAGAAAAAUAACUUUGGCAAUACAGCAGGCUCUGCAAAAGAGUUUAUGCCACUCCUAUACCUUUCUGAAUCUGUUGUGUGCUUCUAACUCAGGCAGUUUAAAGCAAGCAAGGAGGGAGGAGGAGAGGCUCUGAACUCACAGCUUCAAAGCUGCAGAGACGAGCAAAAUGUCAGCAGCUUGUAAUUAGGAGCCCACGGUUACGUCAGUGAACGUAUCUCUCCAAGAAUUGCUAUGUGAUGUGUGCCACAAAGCAAAGGAAGACUCUCAUAACCUGGUUAACAAGCCUGGCUCAAACAAGAAAGAGCAAAAUGGAUUAAUGAAUCUGCUGUGUUCCUAAGUCAGAUGUGGAUGGAUUACAUGCACAAGGUUUGCUGAAUUCUGCAGCAGUGAAGAAUGAAUUAUGGCAUGCAUUCGCCAAAAGCGCAAAUCCUUCAGGAAAAAAUGCAGAUGAGCAGUCUUUCCUUGAAAAUGUCUUUUCUAGCUCUCUCCUGUGCAGGCAGCUGCAUGACAUGGAGGCAAGCUCUGAAGGAAGAGACCGGAGAGCUGCAUAAAGGUGUUUAAAAGGAAUGUUGCAAUUAAACACAAAGCAAGCCUUCUGAAAUUCUGUUCUGGCUGAAUCAUUACAGAUUGGAUACUGAAAUACCACCCCAGAGGAGAACGGCUGGGCUCUGGUGUGGUUUAUAUUAAGGCUUCUCUGGUUAAGAGCGAGGGGGGAGGGACAGGGCUUCCUGCAGCAUCUUGCAGCCAUGCAGAAGUCCCCAGGGCUGUGGGAAGCAGGAGGGAUGGACGUGCUCUUAAAGACACAUGCCCAGAUCCUGCCAAGGGGCUUCCUGACCUCUGCAAUUAUUUUUAGGUCUGUGAAGGCAACUCGGUGGUGCUUAAGCAGUGAGAUUGCAGGGGGUGUUUAAUCUGCUGUGACUGGCCCUUCUCUGUGUCAUGGCUGGGAGAGGUUCAUAGGGCUUUUAUCAAUACCCCUCCGCCUCAUCCAGCAUGCAUGUCUGUCACUGUUCCCAAAGACCAGUUACUGGAGGUCUGGUGUGGGUCCCUGCUCCCAGCAGAAGUCACUUGCAGUUCAGCUCUGUUGUAGUUGCUCUUUAAUUUACCAGGAUAGGUAGAUUGUAUUAUACAAACAGUGGGGGUGGGUGGUUUUUGGUUUGGUUUUGGUUUUUUUUUUUUUUUUUUUGGACUGUGAACACAAAUUUGUAGGAGGAGGUGACUCCGUAUAUUAAACCAAUUGCUCUUUGAAUUGUGUGUAGUAUAAUUUAAAUAUACUUACUUUAAUUAAUAGAAGGUUACAAAAGCUGGCAUUGUCUGGGGCUGUUUAAUUUACAUCUUAGGUUUAGUCAAUGAGCCUAACCUGCCUGAUUAGAAUAGUGUAUUCUGCACAGCCAACAGGGUGGAAGGCAUUAUUUUGUUUGUGUUAGUUCAAACAGCUGGUCAUUAAUGCAGGCCCCAUCUCCAGAGUGAAGUGCUAGUGGACAUGAAUGGCUGCCUGAUUAAUGCUGCCCCUCGACGGGUCCUUCAUCCAGCAGCGAUGCUCGCAGCAGAAUAAUGCAGCGGGAUUUGAUUGCGCUCUAACAGGGUAGUGUGUCAUUGUGUCACCAAGCGAUCGAGGUUAUUAUGGGGUAGGGCAGACAGACGGGACAGUGGGGUUACUAGACCGUGGCAUUUUUAGAAAUGCAGGGCUGACCUACUUAGAGUUAUUCUUGCUGGCUGGCAGCUGCCUGGUGCGGGGCUCCCCCGGAUAGGCUGCGGCUGUUGCUAGGGGGAAUUAGCAUGAAUUUUUCCACAUACAGACUCAGUGAUUGAAUGAUAAAAGCUGACUGGAAUUAAAGAGAUUCGGUUCAGUAUUAUGCAGAUUUAUCUCCCUCAUUUUUUUUUUUUUUUUCUCUCUGUCAAAUGCAUAAAAAGGAGCAGAAUACAGUUUGUUUCCAUUUAUUUUUGACCUUUUUUUUUUUUUUUUCUCCAGGGGAGGGCAGAAGUGUUGCGAAUUUUUGGUCAUAAUUUAAUAUUUAGGCUGUUGAAAUGAUAUGAUAGUGAGCAUGCAUCUUUAAUGUAUGGAAGAUUAAAAUUCUGCCUCUCUGGAAGGGAAUGAAAUGAAUAUAUUUUGUGUUCUGGUCAGGCUGCCACCUCUUUUGAUUUGAAACCAUGUCAGAUUCUUUCAUCUGGAAAGGGGAAACAUAUACCAGGUUUUAUUGCAUAACAUUACUCUUAGCUAUUUUUAGCUAUCUGUACUUCAAAAAAAUUAGUCCUGUUUAUACUAGUGGGUGAAAUUAAUCCCCAGGCUAUGCCUUAUGUAUGUGGAGACAGAUGCCCAGGGUAGCUGCAGUGCUGUGUGUCAUGUUCAUCUGAAAAGGUGUUUACAUAGCUCAGGCUUAUCAGCAGUGCAUACCUAGCAGAGUGCUGAUGCUUGACAUGUAAUCACAUCAAUUAGAGAACUCCUCUGGAUUUCAGAGUAUUUUUCAGGCCCUGGUUUGAAGUUGGAUUCACUAGAUGGUCUUCUUUUAUUUAUCUACAUCUGCCUAAAACAGUGUUAUCUUUUCAGAGAACUCUGUGCUCCCUUAGGAAGCAAAUAAAAACAAUACUCAGUGAAGAAUCCUUUGAUGUAAUCAUGAAUAUUUCCUUUGUUAUUAUCACUAAUUAUAGAAGAUCUUUGUUUAAA